UACGAAGGGGGCUAGCGUUGCUCGGAAUUACUGGGCGUAAAGCGCGCGUAGGCGGAUCGUUAAGUCGGGGGUGAAAUCCUGGAGCUCAACUCCAGAACUGCCUUUGAUACUGGCGAUCUUGAGUCCGGGAGAGGUGAGUGGAACUCCGAGUGUAGAGGUGAAAUUCGUAGAUAUUGGGAAGAACACCGAUGGCGAAGGCAGCCAUCUGGACCGACACUGACGCUGAGGCGCGAAAGCGUGGGGAGCAAACAGG
rnacentral:rRNA from 1 species